UCUCCCAGUGAGGUGCUCCUGUUGGCUCUGCUUCUCAGUUUUGUUGUGUCACAGUAUGUUGGGAAGGGUCUUUGGUGUGUUCUGUUCUGCUGUGUGCGGAGAACUCUGGAAACUGUGGAGCGUGCUACUGAAAUACCCAUGGCAGUUCUGUAUCUAUAUUUCUACUGAAAGAAAAUUCUGUAACUUCAAAAUGGCAUUCUUUCAGAAAUGGAAAUACACUGAUCAGCAGGAAGCCUAAGGUCCAUAAUUGCAAAGGUAAGAUUUAAUGUCAAUUUAGAGCUUGGAAAAGAAGUUAAAAUCUACGGUAGGGUAUUUUAACAGUCAAGACUGGUGAUGUCAAGGGAAAUAAUGGUGUGGUGGGCUAAAAGGGGAGGAGUUUAAUGAUAGCAUAGAUGAUUUCCAGAAAUUUGAUGAUUUUGUGUGCCUCAGUGCUCAGUUUGGACAAUGACUCUGAACUUGAAUGGGAAAAAAUUGGCUUUAUGGAAGUGAAAUUGGAAUAAUGGGAAUGAGGCAAAAAUCAAGGAGUUGUUUCUUGGGAUCUGUGUCACAGUAGUUUGAAGGAACUGACAUUUGAAACUGCAUUUGUACUUGAAGGAUAUUUUGGAAUACGUUGGAGUGGUAUGAGAAAUUUCAGACACGAUUCCUAUAUUUAAGACAGGAAAAAUUGUGAUCUAGUUAAGUGUAGGUAUAUUAGCAUGACAUCAGUAGUAUGCAAGGCUUUUGGAAAGAAGAGUAAUAGAAAACACAGUGAAUGGAAGAAGUGGGAUAACACACAGUAUCGGUUUACUGAAAGCAGAUUUACUGGAUUAUCUUGAUAAUCUUUCUUUAGAUUAUCCUGAUCUUUUUAGACAAAUAACAUGAAAAUAGAUGUGAUGUAUAUCCACUGUGAGAGAAGCAUCUGACACAGAGCUACAUGGAGAAUCGUUUGACUGGAAAAAAUGAUUAUACCCAGAAUUGUAAAAUGGGUAGGAACUGGCUAAAGGAGAUAACAGACGGUGCUGAAAGAAGAAAUACCAGGUUAGAGGGAGAUAAAAAUGGAGUUUCUGAACUCACAUUCUGGUAACCUAUAUCCCUUAAUAUUUUCAUUAAUGAGCUAGGCACAAAAAGAAUAAGAAACUGCUAGAGAAAUGUGCUGAUGGCUUAAGUUGGGAGGGAAUUGUCAAUAGCUAGGAGGCUCAGACCACACAACUAAAAUAUCCUCAAGGACUGGGGAAAUAUAAAUGGGAUUAUAUUCAACA
rnacentral:lncRNA from 1 species